ensembl:lncRNA
UACACAGGUCCUGUUCUCUCAGCUGAGAUCCCCAGCUGUCAGGGGAGGAAUGACCUUUGGUGUUACUGGAGUGUAUACAGGUAGCCACAAACAUCAGUGCAUGAGAAAUUAUUAAAGGUUUCUCUGUAUCACACAGGUGAAUUUCCUGGUUCUCCUGUCUGGUUUGCAUAUUUGAGGUCCCAUCCUGUUAGUUUCUGUCCUGAAAGAAAAGAGUCAUUGUGUUACUAUUGAUUGGAUAAUACUGAGCUGUUGCAAAUUUCUCCAUUAACUUCAUAAUUCUCAAGUAGGUUUGUUGUUGGUGCAAAUUAUGUCUGUGUGCACCAUGGGAAAGAACAGGGGAAAUAAUAAAGGACAAAAAGGAGAGGAAAACCUCCGGAGAGAGAAAGAGAUGGUUGGAGUGAAGGAGGAUUGUAACUAUUCAUCUAAUCAACCAACUACAAGGGAGUACCGAAAACCUGCAGACACCUGGAUGGAAUUCAUUUGAGAUUUGAUUUACUGAUUUAAGUCGCUUUUACAUAGCACAUGAAUGAAUGGGGUGACAGGUUUAGGGACAAUUAUUUGGAUGUAGCUAGACACCACCAGACAGAACAGGUAGAAAAUGGUGAGACACUUAAAUGAAAGCUGCAAUAUUUGUAUCUUAUUAUUAGAACUAUGAUCCUAUACACAAAUAACGGAUAUUAUCAUGUAUACUGUGUACAGGCCUUCGUAAAAAAAAUAACUGGCUAUUGGCA